rnacentral:tRNA from 1 species
UCCCUUCAGCUUAAGAUUAAUUAAAGCACUAGUUUGAAGAGCUGGGGAUACCUUUGCGUGGUGGG